rnacentral:rRNA from 1 species
AACGAACGUUAGCGGCGCGCUUAACACAUGCAAGUCGAGCGAGAAAGGGGCAACCCCGGUAAAGCGGCGCACGGGUGAGUAACACGUAGGUAAUCUACCCUCGGGUGGAGGAUAACUUUCCGAAAGGAAGGCUAAUACUGCAUGAGACCACGGCCUCGAAAGGGGCAGGGGUCAAAGCCGGCCUCUAUACACAAGCUGGCGCCUGAGGAUGAGCCUGCGGCCCAUCAGCUAGUUGGUAGGUAAUGGCCUACCAAGGCGAAGACGGGUAGCUGGUCUGAGAGGAUGAUCAGCCACACUGGAACUGAGACACGGUCCAGACUCCUACGGGAGGCAGCAGUGGGGAAUCUUGCGCAAUGGGCGAAAGCCUGACGCAGCGACGCCGCGUGAGUGAAGAAGGCC